UCUCCAACAAGUUUCCCUCAAGUCUCCAACAGCUCAAGCUCCCAGCGUCAUCUCCAUCUCUGUUGGCUAGAUCUGCAACAGAGGAAAAGAGACUUGAAAGUUGAAGAAAUGGGACAAAUAACAGUCUUUUGGAUAAACAGCGCGCAAUAGCCUUAGCGGUACCUCGCCGCGACGCGCCGCGAUCCGCUAUCAAUAACCUUGAUUUCAGUAUGUAUGGUUUAUUGUGGAUCUAAGAUUGUUGUUUUUUCUUUUUCUUUUUUUACAAAUUUAUAUGAAUUUAAUACAUAUUUUUAUUAAUUAUUAUAAUUAAAUAAUUUUAAAAAUACCGAAAUGCCUAGGCGCCGCCUAGACAUACGCCUUGGCAUCUAGGCGCUAGGCGCUAGUUCAAACGCCUAGUCCGC